ACAUGGCCCAGGUGGGUCGAAGUGUAGUAUCUGUUCUUAUCAGCUUACUAUUUGAUACGGGUUGCAUUAUGACCCAAGAUAUUAAACUUAUUUUUGCAAGUCGGCGGAGUGCGUGAAGCCUGAUUCACGUUCACCGCGGGCCGACCCGGUAUUUGCACUGUCUUCGAGAUCGGCUCACGGUGU